rnacentral:rRNA from 1 species
GACGAACGCUUGCGGCGUGCUUAACACAUGCAAGUCGAGCGGUAAGGCCCUUUCGGGGGUACGACGAGCGGCGAACGGGUGAGUAACACGUGGGUGACCUGCCCUCAGCUCUGGGAUAAGCCUGGGAAACUGGGUCUAAUACUGGAUAUGACUCCACGGUGCAUGUCGUGGGGUGGAAAGCCUUGUGCGGCUGAGGAUGGGCCCGCGGCCUAUCAGCUUGUUGGGGGGUGAUGGCCUACCAAGGCGACGACGGGUAGCCGGCCUGAGAGGGCGACCGGCCACACUGGGACUGAGACACGGCCCAGACUCCUACGGGAGGCAGCAGUGGGGAAUCUUGCGCAAUGGGCGAAAGCCUGACGCAGCGACGCCGCGUGAGGGAUGACGGCU